rnacentral:rRNA from 1 species
ACUCCUACGGGAGGCAGCAGUAGGGAAUCUUCCACAAUGGGCGCAAGCCUGAUGGAGCAACACCGCGUGAGUGAAGAAGGGUUUCGGCUCGUAAAGCUCUGUUGUUAAAGAAGAACACGUAUGAGAGUAACUGUUCAUACGUUGACGGUAUUUAACCAGAAAGUCACGGCUAACUACGUGCCAGCAGCCGCGGUAAUACGUAGGUGGCAAGCGUUAUCCGGAUUUAUUGGGCGUAAAGAGAGUGCAGGCGGUUUUCUAAGUCUGAUGUGAAAGCCUUCGGCUUAACCGGAGAAGUGCAUCGGAAACUGGAUAACUUGAGUGCAGAAGAGGGUAGUGGAACUCCAUGUGUAGCUGUGGAAUGCGUAGAUAUAUGGAAGAACACCAGUGGCGAAGGCGGCUACCUGGUCUGCAACUGACGCUGAGACUCGAAAGCAUGGGUAGCGAACAGGAUUAGAUACCCUGGUAGGAUAGCG